GAUGAAGAACGUAGCGAAAUGCGAUAAGUAAUGUGAAUUGCAGAAUUCAGUGAAUCAUCGAAUCUUUGAACGCACAUUGCGCCCCCUGGUAUUCCGGGGGGCAUGCCUGUCCGAGCGUCAUUACAACCCUCAAGCUCUGCUUGGUGUUGGGCCCCGCCGCCCCGGCGGGCCCUAAAGUCAGUGGCGGUGCCAUCCGGCUCCGAGCGUAGUAAUUCUUCUCGCUCUGGAGGUCCGGUUGUGUGCUUGCCAUCAACCCCCAAUUUUUUUCAGGUUGACCUCGGAUCAGGUAGGGAUACCCGCUGAACUUAAGCAUAUCAAUAGCGGAGGA
rnacentral:misc_RNA from 1 species